rnacentral:misc_RNA from 1 species
GAAAUGCGAUAAGUAAUGUGAAUUGCAGAAUUCAGUGAAUCAUCGAAUCUUUGAACGCACCUUGCGCUCCUUGGUAUUCCGAGGAGCAUGCCUGUUUGAGUGUCAUUUGACUUAUCAACCACAUCAGAUGUUUUGAUGUGGCUUGGACAUGGGGGUAUCUUUUGCUGGCUUUUUCUUUUACAGAAGGUCAGCUCCCCUGAAAUGUAUUAGUGGUGUCUGAGCUACUGCUAUAGGUGUGAUAAUUAUCUAUGCCUUUGGUAUACUGCAUGAACAGAUUGGACUGCUUAUAACAAACAAUUGAAUUUGACACAUCUGACCUCAAAUCAGGUAGGACUACCCGCUGAACUUAA